rnacentral:ncRNA from 12 species
CCGCAUACUGUAACUAAAGACUGAAAGCGUGGGUGACGAUAGCAUCGGAUCGUCUAAGGUCAAAAAUCGCGGUUAUAUACGGU